UACAGAGGUCUCAAGCGUUGUUCGGAUUCAUUGGGCGUAAAGGGCGCGUAGGCGGUUUGACAAGUCUGAUGUGAAAUCUCUGGGCUCAACCCAGAGUCUGCAUUAGAAACUGUCGGGCUUGAGUAUGGGAGAGGUGAGUGGAAUUUCCGGUGUAGCGGUGAAAUGCGUAGAUAUCGGAAGGAACACCUGUGGCGAAAGCGGCUCACUGGACCAUAACUGACGCUGAGGCGCGAAAGCUAGGGGAGCAAACAGG
rnacentral:rRNA from 1 species